UGACUGGCUCAGCUGGCAGAGCAUGAGACUCUUCAUCUGAAGGUCAUGGGUUUGAGGCCCACAUUGCAGAAAAG